GAGACUGAGCUUUUAACCCUAUAGACUCCAACAAGUUCCACUGACUGAACUGGCUGGCUCCACCUUCACAAAAAAGUAGAUGAAUCUUCCACUGCAUAAUCAAAGGCAAUUAAUUUGUGACAAUUAUCUAAUAACAUCCAUCCCGUGUUCCAAGACAAGGGCACACCAACCGGGACCAGCUCAGAACCCGGACCCCAGGGCUGGCUUCUAAUGGAGUUUGAAAUCACACCAGGCUGUCCUGCGAGUCUUCUCGGAGCACCGACCCUCCGCGUUGGGGAGCCUCAGAGGCGAGGCCCCGCCCCACGGCCGAGCCGCC